UUUGGGAAUAUUGGACAAUGGAGGAAACUCUGAUCCAGUGACGCCGCGUGAAGGAAGAAGGUCUUCGGAUUGUAAACUUAUUUUGUCAGGGAAGAAAUAAAUGACUGUACCUGAAGAAAAAGCACCGGCUAACUACGUGCCAGCAGCCGCGGUAAUACGUAGGGUGCAAGCGUUAUCCGGAUUUACUGGGUGUAAAGGGCGAGUAGACGGCGAUGCAAGUCAGAUGUGAAAUGCUAGGGCUUAACCUUAGAACUGCAUCUGAAACUGUAUUGCUAGAGUGCAGGAGAGGUAAACGGAAUUCCUAG
rnacentral:rRNA from 1 species